AAUGAACGUUGGCGGCGUGGAUUAGGCAUGCAAGUCGCGCGAGAAGUCAUUUAGCUUGCUAAAAGACGGACAGCGGCGGAAGGGAGAGUAACGCGUGGUUAUGUACCCUCGAGACCGGGAUAGUGUCGGGAAACUGGCAGUAAUACCGGAUAACAUCUUCGGAUCAAAUGGUGUGAUUCCGCUCGAGGAUCGGACCGCGUACUAUUAGCUAGUUGGGGGGGUAAUGGCCCACCAAGGCUUAGAUGGUUACCGGGUGUGAGAGCAUGGCCCGGCUCACUGGGACUGAGACCCUGCCCAGACAUCUACGGAUGGCUGCAUUCGAGAAUCUUCGGCAAUGGACGAAAGUCUGACCGAGCGACGCCGCGUGCAGGAUGAAGGCCUUCGGGUUGUAAACCGCUGUCAGUUAGGAGGAAAUCCAUGAGGGUUCUCUCUCAUGGUUGACCGAUUUUCAGAGGAAGGACGGGCUAAGUUCGUGCCAGCCGCCGCCGUAAUAC
rnacentral:rRNA from 1 species